ACGAACGCUGGCGGCGUGCUUUAACACAUGCAAGUCGAACGAGAAGAGAUGAGGAGCUUGCUUCUUAUUAAUUCGAGUGGCAAACGGGUGAGUAACGCGUAAGCAACCUGCCCUUCAGAUGGGGACAACAGCUGGAAACGGCUGCUAAUACCGAAUACGUCUUUUUGUCGCAUGGCAGAGGGAAGAAAGGGGAGGCUCUUCGGAGCUUUCGCUGAAGGAGGGGCUUGCGUCUGAUUAGCUAGUUGGAGGGGUAACGGCCCACCAAGGCGACGAUCAGUAGCCGGUCUGAGAGGAUGAACGGCCACAUUGGGACUGAGACACGGCCCAGACUCCUACGGGAGGCAGCAGUGGGGAAUCUUCCGCAAUGGACGAAAGUCUGACGGAGCAACGCCGCGUGGGUGAAGAAGGUCUUCGGAUCGUAAAGCUCUGUUGAGAGGGACGAGAGACAUAAUCAGGAAAUGAGCUUUGUAGGACGGUACCUUUCGAGGAAGCCACGGCUAACUACGUG
rnacentral:rRNA from 1 species